GACGAACGCUGGCGGCGUGCCUAAUACAUGCAAGUCGAACGCAGUGGGGACGGGUGAGUAACACGUGGGUAACCUCCCAUCAGAGGGGAUAACACUUGGAAACAGGGUCUAAACCGUUGCUGAAGGAUGGACCCGCGGUGCAUUAGCUAGUUGGUGAGUUAACGGCUCCACAAGGCCACGAGGCAUAGCCGAACGGAGGGGGGGAGCGGCAAGAGUGGGACUGAGACACGGCCCAGACUCCUACGGUAGGCAGCAGUAGGGAGUCUUCGGCAAUGGACGAAAGUUUGACCGAGCAACGCCGCGUGAGUGAAGAGGGUGUUCGGAUCGUAAACCUCUGUUGUUAGAGAAGCGGUAUCUAACCAGAAAGCCACGGCGAACUACGGGCCAGCAGCCGCGGUAAUUC
rnacentral:rRNA from 1 species